rnacentral:rRNA from 1 species
GAUGAAUGCUGGCGGCGUGCCUAACACAUGCAAGUCGAGCGGCAGCGAGGGGUUCUUGCACCCUGUCGGCGAGCGGCGAACGGCUGAGUAACGCGUAUGAAUUUGCCCCAAAGUGAGGAAUAACUGCCCGAAAGGGUAGCUAAUGCCGCAUAUGGUCUUCGGAUUAAAGGAUUUAUCCGCUUUGGGAGAAGCCUGCGUUGGAUUAGGUUGUUGGUAGGGUAAUGGCCUACCAAGCCGACGAUCCAUAGCUGGUCUGAGAGGAUGAUCAGCCAGACUGGAACUGAGACACGGUCCAGACUCCUACGGGAGGCAGCAGUGAGGAAUCUUCCACAAUGGGCGAAAGCCUGAUGGAGCAACGCCGCGUGAAGGAUGAAGGCCUUCGGGUUGUAAACUUCUUUUAUGAGUGAAGAAUAUGACGGUAACUCAUGAAUAAGCACCGGCUAACUACGUG